GGUGGCUCAGUAGUAGAGUGCUUGCCUUGCAUGCAGGAGGCCCUGAGUCGAUUCCUCAGCACCA
rnacentral:tRNA from 1 species